GAUUUCAUACCCAUGAGGUGACGCCCGGCCUUGAUGAACUACAGGUGAUCCAGUUCUUCAUUAUGUCCCAUGUCCCACUGGAAGCAAGCAAAGUAUUUAAUAUUUCCUCUGCUAUAAUGAUUUGGCUAAGGUGUACGCCUUGAAUUUAAAGGACGACAUGCGACUCAACAGGUGCGGGACGCUGGGCAAAAAUACAACAAGCGAUCUUUAGAUCAAUGCAGCUCAAAACUGUACUAAUUUUGUGUACAGGCAUCAAAAUUGCUAAAAGGAAGAUUUUCUACAAGUAAGAAGCACCAGUGCCAGCGUCAGUGGCUGUAAUGAAGGAUGCUGUAUCUCAGAGUCUCAGAGGAAUGCAUUGCAAAUAAAACGUAGUUUACGAACACUCUAAACUCCGGCGGUAGUGACAUUUUGGUCGCAUUUUCUUAGACACAAUUUAAGAAAGUGAUUAUAAGUGGAGAUUGCUUCCCUCAAAAUGGUGGGCCUCAGAGCUCAUUUAUUUUCAUGCUGAAGUUGUUGGUUUCCACGGCUGCGAACGCAAACCCAUAAAUGGCCACCUUCUGUCACUGGGCCAUUUUGAAGUUGCCCUAAAGUCUUUUUGUAAAGGUAAGGUAAGACAACAGACCAAUCAGGGAGCCAUUCACAUCAAGGAACUUGAAGGUGUUGAGAAAUCAUCACUUUCGUCCCCAACUUCAAGAAGUGAGUUUAGUCGGAACUCAGAGUUUGGGAAGAGACUGUUCAUGUCAGCCCUUAUUGGAGACUUGGAAAAAAAAAAUGGUGAAAUUUGGAACAGGACUCGCUCUGGCUUGUUUGCAGUUUUACUUCGUAACUGGACUCUCAUCCAGAAUAUAUAAUUACCUCUUACUCUACCAUCAAACCCAAAUCAUCCUUUUUAUAAAGCAUUCCAAAAGGUUCCAUCUUCUCAAACUACUGCAAACAAGUUUGUGAAAAACUUCCUGCAUCUUUCUCCAUCAACUGUUACCAAAAGACAAACUGCUGUAGAAGAUGUUGUUGCUGUUUUGGAUGGUUCAGCUUCCAUUGGCCAUUGUGAAUUCGAGAAAGGGAAGACAGCCCUCAGUUACCUGAUGGUCUCUGCAAAGGAGUCAAACCCCAGAAUUGACACACAGUAUGCAGCAGUAACCUUUGCCAGUUCAGCAACUGUAAACUUCAAGUUCUUAAAAUCUGUGGCAGCAGCAAGAAACAUAAUGAUGAUCCGUUAUCCAGGUGGUGGGACCAACACUCAAGCUGGCCUUAAUGAGGCAUUGAAGCUUUUUACAAACCUUGGAUCAGGUGUCCGUCCGUUUGGAAAAAAACAGUUCUUCUUAUUACUGGUGGCCAAUCUACUUUGAAACGCCAUUUGACCAUUCCCAAAGCAGAGGCAUUGAAACGAAAUGGUGUGUCCAUAUAUGUGAUUGCCGUGGGAGGUCAGUUCAUGUCUGGCAUUGCUGAGAUGGUUAGGGUGGCUUCCUGGCCACCCCAAAAUCAUCUGUUUCGAGUCAGUAAUUUAGGUCAUCUUGUGGAUCCUGUCAAGUUGGUUGUAAAACAAGUUGCCCCCGGGAAAUACAAAAUCAUUAAUGGACAACCUAAUAAACCUUGUUCAUACUAUGGUUAAACAUCUUUUUGGCGAUUUGUUUACAGUCAUCUUUAGAUGUUGCUUCAGGGAAAAGGGGAAUAGUAAUAAUGUUAACGCAAGGAGUGCCUAGGAUCAUUUCAAAUUUUAAUUACGAAUUCUUAUUUGGCUUACAACUUUUGUUACUUUAAUUAGUAAAUUAUUGUGGCAUUAGUUUAGGGGGGAAAUUAGGGUUGGGGUAAGUGUGAGGGUAAAGUUGUCAUGAUUAGGUCAGGUUUGUUGCUGUUUUUAAUGUUCACAAUAAAGAAUGGGUGAAGGCAAUUAAUUUUGUUGUUGUUAA